AUUGAACGCUGGCGGCAUGCCUUACACAUGCAAGUCGAACGGUAACAGGGAGCUUGCUCCGCUGACGAGUGGCGAACGGGUGAGUAAUGCGUCGGAACGUGCCGAGUAGUGGGGGAUAACGCAUCGAAAGGUGUGCUAAUACCGCAUACGUACUGAGGUAGAAAGUGGGGGACCUUCGGGCCUCACGCUAUUCGAGCGGCCGACGUCUGAUUAGCUAGUUGGUGAGGUAAAGGCUCACCAAGGCGACGAUCAGUAGCGGGUCUGAGAGGAUGAUCCGCCACACUGGGACUGAGACACGGCCCAGACUCCUACGGGAGGCAGCAGUGGGGAAUUUUGGACAAUGGGCGCAAGCCUGAUCCAGCCAUGCCGCGUGUCUGAAGAAGGCCUUCGGGUUGUAAAGGACUUUUGUCCGGGAGCAAAUGCCUGGUGUUAAUAGCAUCGGGAGCUGAGAGUACCGGAAGAAUAAGCACCGGCUAACUACGUGCCAGCCGCCGCGGUAAAAC
rnacentral:rRNA from 1 species